GAUGAACGCUGGCGGCGUGCCUAAUACAUGCAAGUCGAGCGAACAGACGAGGAGCUUGCUCCUCUGACGUUAGCGGCGGACGGGUGAGUAACACGUGGAUAACCUACCUAUAAGACUGGGAUAACUUCGGGAAACCGGAGCUAAUACCGGAUAAUAUAUUGAACCGCAUUGUUCAAUAGUGAAAGACGGUUUUGCUGUCACUUAUAGAUGGAUCCGCGCCGCAUUAGCUAGUUGGUAAGGUAACGGCUUACCAAGGCAACGAUGCGUAGCCGACCUGAGAGGGUGUGCGGCCACACUGGAACUGAGACACGGUCCAGACUCCUACGGGAAGCAGCAGUAGGGAAUCUUCCGCAAUGGGCGAAAGCCUGACGGAGCAACGCCGCGUGAGUGAUGAAGGUCUUCGGAUCGUAAAACUCUGUUAUUAGGGAAGAACAAAUGUGUAAGUAACUAUGCACGUCUUGACGGUACCUAAUCAGAAAGCCACGGCUAACUACGUG
rnacentral:rRNA from 1 species